rnacentral:rRNA from 1 species
UACGGAGGGUGCGAGCGUUGUCCGGAAUCACUGGGCGUAAAGGGCGCGUAGGCGGCGCGGGCAGUCAACGGUGAAAGCUUGGGGCUCAACCCCGAGUCGGCCGUCGAUACUCCCGGGCUGGAGCACUGUAGAGGCAGGUGGAAUUCCGGGUGUAGCGGUGGAAUGCGUAGAGAUCCGGAAGUACACCGGUGGCGAAGGCGGCCUGCUGGGCAGUAGCUGACGCUGAGGCGCGACAGCGUGGGGAGCAAACAGG